GACGAACGCUGGCGGCGUGCUUAACACAUGCAAGUCGAACGGAAAGGCCUCUUUCGGGGGGUACUCGAGUGGCGAACGGGUGAGUAACACGUGAGUAACCUGCCCUUGACUUUGGGAUAACUUCAGGAAACUGGGGCUAAUACCGGAUAGGAGCUCCUGCUGCAUGGUGGGGGUUGGAAAGUUUCGGCGGUUGGGGGUGGACUCGCGGCGUAUCAGCUUGUUGGUGGGGUAGUGGCUUACCAAGGCUUUGCCGGGUAGCCGGCCUGAGAGGGUGACCGGCCACAUUGGGACUGAGAUACGGCCCAGACUCCUACGGGAGGCAGCAGGGGGGAAUAUUGCCCGAUGGGUGGAAGCCUGAUGCAGCAACGCCGUGUGCGGGAUGACUGCCUUCGGGUUGUAAACCGCUUUCGCUCAUGACGAAGCUUUGUGUGACGGUAGUGGGUAAAGAAGCACCGGCUAACUACGUG
rnacentral:rRNA from 1 species